rnacentral:rRNA from 1 species
GACGAACGCUGGCGACGCGCUUAACACAUGCAAGCCGAACGGAAAGGCCUGCUUUCCCUUGUGGAUUGCGGGUACUCGAGUGGCGAACGGGUGAGUAACACGUGAGUGAUCUGCCCCCAACUUGGGUAUAAGCCUGGGAAACUGGGUCUAAUUCCCGAUAGGACUGCAGGGUGGUGCCUGUGGUGGAAAACGAUUUUCUAGUGGUUGGGGAUGAGCUCGCGGCCUAUCAGCUUGUUGGUGGGGUAAUGGCCUACCAAGGCGGCGACGGGUAGCCGGCCUGAGAGGGUGGACGGCCACAGUGGGACUGAGAUACGGCCCAGACUCCUACGGGAGGCAGCAGUGGGGAAUAUUGCACAAUGGGCGGAAGCCUGAUGCAGCGACGCCGCGUGGGGGAUGACGGCCUUCGGGUUGUAAACUCCUUUCGACCGCGAGGAAGCCACCUGGUUGGAAGGGUGGUGACGGUAGUGGUAGAAGAAGCACCGGCUAACUACGUG